rnacentral:misc_RNA from 1 species
UUGGUGGCUGAUGUUUGGGCGCGUGUGACAGCGCGAAGAAGGGAUAGUGCUCACUGCUCUUAUCAAGUGGACUGGCAUGGAGUUUUACGGUAGGCCGGGAGGGCGAGUGCUAUGUCUCGGAGGACGAUGUGGACGUACCUGGCGGGAUCUACCUGAAGCCGGGUCAGGACUACUACCGCUCUCCGGCCGCCUGUGAGGUCUUCAAGUGCAGAGAGUCCUCCAGAGGUCUGGAGCUCAGCUUUUCCUCGUGCGGUGUGCUCAUCCCUUCCGAGGGGUGUACGCUGGUAUCCGAUGAUUCCGUCAACUACCCGCACUGCUGCCCCGAGAUCCGGUGCACCGGAUCUCGGCGGUGCUAGCUGAGCUAGCACCGCGGUGCUAGCUCGGCUCCGAGAUCGGCGCUGGGUAUGGACUGUCGUGUGGCCGCUGGUUACGUGAUGUCCGUCUUGACACCAGGGUGGUCAAUACACGAGUUCGGAGGCG